ACCAGGCAUGGUGGUGCAUGCCUUUGAUCCCAGCACUUGGGAGGCAGAGGCAGGUGGAUCUCUGUGAGUUCAAGGCCAGCCUGGUCUACAUAGUGAGAUCCAGGACAGCUGGGGCUACAGGGAGACCCUGUCUCAAAAAGACCAAAAACAAAAAAAGAUAGAGUCUCAUUAUGUAGCCCUGGUUGGCCUGAAACUCACUAUGUAGACCAGGCUGGUCUUAAAGUCAUAGAGAUCUGCCUGCCUCU
rnacentral:sRNA from 1 species